rnacentral:rRNA from 1 species
UACGGAGGGUGCAAGCGUUGCUCGGAAUUAUUGGGCGUAAAGGGUAGGUAGGUGGUCUCAUUUGUCUGGGGUGAAAGCCUUGAGCUUAACUCAAGAAGUGCCCCAGAAACGGUGAGACUGGAGUCCUGGAGAGGGUCGUGGAAUUCCCGGUGUAGCGGUGAAAUUCGUAGAUAUGGGGAGGAACACCGGUGGCGAAGGCGGCCACCUGGACGGUAACUGACGCUGAGACGCGAAAGCGUGGGGAGCAAACAGG